AUGAACGCUGGCGGCGUGCCUAAUACAUGCCAGUCGAGCGAACAGAUCAGGAGCUUGCUCCUUUGACGUUAGCGGCGGACGGGUGAGUAACACGUGGGUAACCUACCUAUAAGACUGGGAUAACUUCGGGAAACCGGAGCUAAUACCGGAUAACAUUUGGAACCGCAUGGUUCUAAAGUGAAAGAUGGUUUUGCUAUCACUUAUAGAUGGACCCGCGCCGUAUUAGCUAGUUGGUAAGGUAACGGCUUACCAAGGCAACGAUACGUAGCCGACCUGAGAGGGUGAUCGGCCACACUGGAACUGAGACGCGGUCCAGACUCCUACGGGAGGCAGCAGUAGGGAAUCUUCCGCAAUGGGCGAAAGCCUGACGGAGCAACGCCGCGUGAGUGAUGAAGGGUUUCGGCUCGUAAAACUCUGUUAUUAGGGAAGAACAAAUGUGUAAGUAACUGUGCACGUCUUGACGGUACCUAAUCAGAAAGCCACGGCUAACUACGUG
rnacentral:rRNA from 1 species